rnacentral:rRNA from 1 species
CAAUAAGCGGAGGAAAAGAAACCAACAGGGAUUGCCCCAGUAACGGCGAGUGAAGCGGCAAAAGCUCAAAUUUGAAAUCCUGCGGGAAUUGUAAUUUGAAGGUUUCGUGGUCUGAGUCGGCCGCGCCCAAGUCCAUUGGAACAUGGCGCCUGGGAGGGUGAGAGCCCCGUAUGGCGCACGCCGACUCUUUGCACCGCGGCUCCGACGAGUCGAGUUGUUUGGGAAUGCAGCUCUAAGUGGGUGGUAAAUUCCAUCUAAAGCUAAAUAUUGGCGAGAGACCGAUAGCGAACAAGUACAGUGAUGGAAAGAUGAAAAGCACUUUGAAAAGAGAGUGAAACAGCACGUGAAAUUGUUGAAAGGGAAGGGCUUGCAAGCAGACACGGUUUUACCGGGCCAGCGUCGAAAAGGGGGGAGGAACAAGAACUCGAGAAUGUGGCGCGCACCUUCGGGCGCGCGUGUUAUAGCUCGUGUUGACGCCUCCAUCCCUUUUCGAGGCCUGCGAUUGUAGGACGUGGGUAUUCCCAA